UACGUAGGGGGCAAGCGUUGUCCGGAAUCAUUGGGCGUAAAGAGCGUGUAGGCGGCCCGAUAAGUCCGCUGUGAAAGUCCAGGGCUCAACCCUCGGAUGCCGGUGGAUACUGUCGGGCUCGAGUACGGAAGAGGCGAGUGGAAUUCCUGGUGUAGCGGUGAAAUGCGCAGAUAUCAGGAGGAACACCUAUUGCGAAGGCAGCUCGCUGGGACGUUACUGACGCUGAGACGCGAAAGCGUGGGGAGCAAACAGG
rnacentral:rRNA from 1 species